rnacentral:rRNA from 1 species
GACGAACGCUGGCGGCGUGCUUAACACAUGCAAGUCGAGCGAGGACCGCACUCUUUUGGGUGUGGAGCCGAGCGGCGAACGGGUGAGUAACACGUGAGCAACCUGCCCCUGGCUCUGGGAUAGCCCUGGGAAACCGGGAUUAAUACCGGAUAUGACCGCUGCUCGCAUGGGUGGUGGUGGUGGAAAGGUUCCCCCUUGUGGGGUUCCGGCCGGGGAUGGGCUCGCGGCCUAUCAGCUUGUUGGUGGGGUGACGGCCUACCAAGGCGAUGACGGGUAGCCGGCCUGAGAGGGUGGUCGGCCACACUGGGACUGAGACACGGCCCAGACUCCUACGGGAGGCAGCAGUGGGGAAUAUUGCGCAAUGGGCGGAAGCCUGACGCAGCGACGCCGCGUGGGGGAUGAAGGCCUUCGGGUUGUAAACCUCUUUCAGCAGGGACGAAGUUGACGUGUACCUGCAGAAGAAGCGCCGGCCAACUAC